rnacentral:rRNA from 1 species
GACGAACCGUGCGAACGUUGUUCGGAAUCACUGGGCUUAAAGGGCGCGUAGGCGGGCUUGCAAGUCAGGGGUGAAAUCCCACGGCUUAACCGUGGAAGUGCCUUUGAUACUGUGGGUCUUGAGGGAGGUAGGGGCGUGCGGAACUUCCGGUGGAGCGGUGAAAUGCGUAGAUAUCGGAAGGAACACCGGUGGCGAAAGCGGCGCGCUGGACCUCUACUGACGCUGAGGCGCGAAAGCCAGGGGAGCAAACGGG